UUGAAAACACUUGAUGGUCACGCGCUGUACUGGAGUCACCAUGGAAACGGGGCUCAGCUCAACCGUCAAGCAGCCGAACAGACGCUGUCUCUCAUGGUUGUUUUCACUAAUUUCAGUUUAUAGAAAUGGUCAGUGUCUUCAUGAAAAGUCCGUUAGCAUCUCAACUGUAAUGCUAACUACAAGAGAUUCUUCCAUGCUGAUGGCCGUGCCUGUAUCCAGCUGAAGAACAUUUUUAGACAUUAUGAAACAUAUAACUAAGACUGAAAAUCAUUGAUAAACCACAAGCUCCAACCCCAGUUAAGCAGACCUGAGCAGCCGAUCAAGGAUCAGCAGAAACUCUGCAGAACGGUGGUCCUCCAGCCCAGGACUGGACACCAGUGUUAUGCUGCAGAAAAAAGAGCGAGGCUAAAGCAUUCAAAGUGGAAACAUCUGCCGUGGCUCAUUAAUCCAGAAUUGGGAUGGAGGAAGGAGCAGAAGAAGCAGAAGAUCAGAGAUCAGGCAGAGAUCUACUGGUGCCCCUGUGGGAACCCCAUUUACCUAAUGUGUUAGUUUAACCAAAGAUUUUCCUCACUCACCUUUAUGUUGUUCCAAACCAGACUUUUGUUCAUCCUUGAAACAUAAAUGCGGAACUUUUUAAUGAAAUCUGAGAUUAUUUUCUUUAUAUAAAAUAACACAUUCACACAAGCACCAUGAUGCAUCAGUGUUGCAUUGGCGUGAGAGCUGGCGCUUUUGGUGCUUUUGUGAAAAUCCAUUGGGGAGUCAUAAUUUCUGAAUAGAUUAUUUUUGCUGUUGUUAUUGUUUGUUUGUUUUUUUUUGUACACAAGGCAUCUGUUAAAAAAAUAUCUUCAUUUGUGUUCUGCACAAAAGGGUGUUAUGGGUUUGGGGCAACAUGAGGGUAAGUAAUUAAUGACAGAAUUAAAAUUUUUGGUUGUUCUAAUGUGGUUAUAAUUGGUCAUAGUUUAUUUGUCUUGAAAAAAUAUAUUUAUACAGAAACAUGGAUUAAUUUGAUAAGUUUAUAGUAAAGCCUUUUAAAUUGAUAAAAAAAAAAAAAUCUAAAUAAAUACUACUCUUUU